AUUGAACGCUGGCGGCAGGCUUAACACAUGCAAGUCGAGCGAGUGGCGGACGGGUGAGUAAUGUCUGGGAAACUGCCCGAUGGAGGGGGAUAACUACUGGAAACGGUAGCUCAUACCGCAUACCAUCAGAUGUGCCCAGAUGGGAUUAGCUAGUAGGUGGGGUAACGGCUCACCUAGGCGACGAUCCCUAGCUGGUCUGAGAGGAUGACCAGCCACCCUGGAACUGAGAUACGGUCCAAACUCCUACGGGAGGCAGCAGUGGGUACUAUGGCACAAUGGGCGCAAGCCUGAUGCAGCCAUGCCGCGUGGUUGAAGAAGGCCUUCGGGUUGUAAAGCACUUUCAGCGAGGAGGCGUUACUCGCAGAAGAAGCACCGGCUAACUCCGUGCCAGCAGCCGCGGUAAUAC
rnacentral:rRNA from 1 species